rnacentral:misc_RNA from 1 species
GGAAAAUUAAGAAUUUAUCAAUUUUGGAAGCCUGCAGAAAGUCCUCUCCCCUAGUCCAUGUAUAAGUUGCACCAUGUAAGGGGAGAUCAAUAAGACCCAUAUCUUGAAUAAAUUCGGAGAAGUCUUUCAUGGACUUUGAUCUCCUGAUACAAUUGUACCUCUCAAGUUCAAAUCUACAUACAUUACAGUCACGACCUAUGACCCAAC